rnacentral:tRNA from 1 species
GGCCUCAUAGCUCAGUUGGAUAGAGCGUUGGCCUUCCUCUUGCUGGCGUGGUUUCGAAUCCCACCGAAGCCG